rnacentral:rRNA from 1 species
CAGCCGCCGCGGUAAUACGUAGGGUCCGAGCGUUGUCCGGAAUUAUUGGGCGUAAAGAGCUCGUAGGCGGUCUGUCGCGUCUGCCGUGAAAUCCUCAGGCUCAACCUGAGGCGUGCGGUGGGUACGGGCAGGCUAGAGUGCGGUAGGGGAGAAUGGAACUCCUGGUGUAGCGGUGGAAUGCGCAGAUAUCAGGAAGAACACCGAUGGCGAAGGCAGUUCUCUGGGCCGUAACUGACGCUGAGGAGCGAAAGCGUGGGGAGCGAACAGGAUUAGAUACCCGAGUAGUCCCUGUCUCUUAUAC